rnacentral:rRNA from 1 species
CCUACGGGUGGCAGCAGUGGGGAAUAUUGCGCAAUGCUGGUAAGCCUGACCCAGCGACGCCGCGUGAGUGAAGAAGUCCUUCGGGUUGUAAAGUUCUUUCAACAGGGACGAAACAACUGACGGUACCUGAUGAAUAAGCCCCUGCUAACUACGUGCCCGCAGCCGCGGUAAUACGUCGGGGGCACGCGUUAUCCGGAUUUACUGGGUGUAAAGGGCGUGUAGGCGGGGCUGCAAGUCAGAAGUGAAAGACGGGGGCUCAACCCCUGGACUGCUUUGGAAACUGUGUUGCUAGAGUGCUGGAGAGGUAGGCGGAAUUCCUGGUGUAGCGGUGAAAUGCGUAGAUAUAAGGAGGAACACCAGUGGCGAAGGCGGCCUGCUGGACGGUAACUGACGCUGAGGCGCGAAAGCGUGGGGAGCAAACAGGAUUAGAUACCCUGGUAGUC